rnacentral:rRNA from 1 species
AGUGAACGCUGGCGGUAGGCCUAACACAUGCAAGUCGAACGGCGGCACAGGAGAGCUUGCUCUCUGGGUGACGAGUGGCGAACGGGUGAGUAAUACAUCGGAACGUGCCUAGUAGUGGGGGAUAACUACUCGAAAGAGUGGCUAAUACCGCAUGAGAUCUACGGAUGAAAGCAGGGGAUCGCAAGACCUUGUGCUACUAGAGCGGCCGAUGGCAGAUUAGGUAGUUGGUGGGAUAAAAGCUUACCAAGCCGACGAUCUGUAGCUGGUCUGAGAGGACGAUCAGCCACACUGGGACUGAGACACGGCCCAGACUCCUACGGGAGGCAGCAGUGGGGAAUUUUGGACAAUGGGCGAAAGCCUGAUCCAGCAAUGCCGCGUGCAGGAUGAAGGCCUUCGGGUUGUAAACUGCUUUUGUACGGAACGAAAAGCCCAGGGUUAAUACCCUGGGGUCAUGACGGUACCGUAAGAAUAAGCACCGGCUAACUACGUGCCAGCCGCCGCAGUAA